rnacentral:rRNA from 1 species
GAUGAACGCUAGCUACAGGCUUAACUCAUGCAAGUCGAGGGGUAACGAGAGGAAAGCUUGCUUUCCUUGUUGACGACCGGCGCACGGGUGAGUAACGCGUAUCCAACCUGCCCCCAACUAGGGAAUAACCUUGCGAAAGUAAGACUAAUACCCUAUAAUUUCCUCAGAUGUCAUCUGACGAGGAAUAAAGAUUUAUCGGCUGUGGAUGGGGAUGCGUCUGAUUAGCUUGUUGGCGGGGUAACGGCCCACCAAGGCAACGAUCAGUAGGGGUUCUGAGAGGAAGGUCCCCCAAAUUGGAACUGAGACACGGUCCAAACUCCUACGGGAGGCAGCAGUGAGGAAUAUUGGUCAAUGGGCGGAAGCCUGAACCAGCCAAGUAGCGUGCAGGAUGACGGCCCUAUGGGUUGUAAACUGCUUUUAUACAGGAAUAAAGUUAGCCACGUGUGGUUAUUUGUAGGUACUGUAUGAAUAAGGACCGGCUAAUUCCGUGCCAGCAGCCGCAGUAA